UAGGGAAUCUUCCACAAUGGACGCAAGUCUGAUGGAGCAACGCCGCGUGAGUGAAGAAGGUUUUCGGACCGUAAAGCUCUGUUGUUGGUGAAGAAGGAUAGAGGUAGUAACUGGCCUUUAUUUGAGGUAAUCAACCAGAAAGUCACGGCUAACUACGUGCCAGCAGCCGCGGUAAUACGUAGGUGGCAAGCGUUGUCCGGAUUUAUUGGGCGUAAAGCGAGCGCAGGCGGAAGAAUAAGUCUGAUGUGAAAGCCCUCGGCUUAACCGAGGAAUUGCAUCGGAAACUGUUUUCUUGAGUGCAGAAGAGGAGAGUAGAACUCCAUGUGUAGCGGUGGAAUGCGUAGAUAUAUGGAAGAAUACCAGUGGCGAAGGCGGCUCUCUGGUCUGCAACUGACGCUGAGGCUCGAAAGCAUGGGUAGCGAACAGGAUUAGAUACCCUGGUAGUCCAUGCCGUAAACGAUGAGUGCUAAGUGUUGGGAGGCUUCCGCCUCUCAGUGCUGCAGCUAACGCAUUAAGCACUCCGCCUGGGGGAGUACGACCGCAAGGUUGAAAC
rnacentral:rRNA from 1 species